rnacentral:rRNA from 1 species
AGAACGAACGCUGGCGGCAUGCCUAAUACAUGCAAGUCGAACGAACUCUUCGGAGUUAGUGGCGCACGGGUGCGUAACGCGUGGGAAUCUGCCCCUUGGUUCGGAAUAACAGUUGGAAACGACUGCUAAUACCGGAUGAUGACGAAAGUCCAAAGAUUUAUCGCCAAGGGAUGAGCCCGCGUAGGAUUAGCUAGUUGGUGAGGUAAAGGCUCACCAAGGCAACGAUCCUUAGCUGGUCUGAGAGGAUGAUCAGCCACACUAGGACUGAGACACCGGCCCAGACCUCCUACGGGAGCAG